AGAGUUUGAUCCUGGCUCAGGACGAACGCUGGCGGCGUGCCUAAUACAUGCAAGUCAACGAGAAAGUCGACUUCGGUCGGCAAGUAAAGUGGCGAACGGGUGAGUAACACGUAGGCAACCUGCCUUCAGGACUGGGAUAACUCUACUAACGUGGAGCUAAUACCGGAUAUAACAGCGUAAUCACAUGGUUGUGCUGUAAAAGAAGGGGAUUCUUCGGAACCUUUUGCUUGGAGAUGGGCCUGCGGUCCAUUAGUUUGUUGGUGAGGUAACGGCUCACCAAGACAUCGAUGGAUAGCCGACCUGAGAGGGUGAUCGGCCACACUGGGACUGAGAUACGGCCCAGACUCCUACGGGAGGCAGCAGUAGGGAAUAUUGCGCAAUGGCCGCAAGGCUGACGCAGCAACGCCGCGUGACUGAUGAAGCUUUAAGGAGUGUAAAAGUCUGUUAGGAGGGACGAAUAAUUCAAACGUUAAUAACUUUUGAACGUGACGGUACCUUCAGAGAAAGCUCCGCCAACU
rnacentral:rRNA from 1 species